CCUACGGGAGGCAGCAGUGAGGAAUAUUGGUCAAUGGGCGCGAGCCUGAACCAGCCAAGUAGCGUGAGGGAUGACGGCCCUACGGAUUGUAAACCUCUUUUGUCGGGGAGUAAAAAGCGGCACGUGUACCUCAUUGAGUGUACUUGGUGAAAAAGCAUCGGCUAACUCCGUGCCAGCAGCCGCGGUAAUACGGAGGAUCCGAGCGUUAUCCGGAUUUAUUGGGUUUAAAGGGUGCGCAGAGGGGGGGUUAAGUCAGGUGUGAAAGUUUGGGGCUCAACCCCAGAAAAGCCAUUGAUACUGGCAGGCUUGAGUAGAGGUGAGGUAGGCGGAAUGCGUGGUGUAGCGGUGAAAUGCUUAGAUAUCACGAAGAACUCCGAUUGCGAAGGCAGCUUACCAA
rnacentral:rRNA from 1 species